rnacentral:rRNA from 1 species
GUGCCAGCCGCCGCGGUAAUACGUAGGUGGCAAGCGUUGUCCGGAAUUACUGGGCGUAAAGGGCGUGUAGGCGGCUUUUUAAGUCAGACGUGAAAUCUCCAGGCUUAACCUGGAAACUGCGUUUGAAACUGGAGAGCUUGAGGAUCGGAGAGGGCAGUGGAAUUCCCAGUGUAGCGGUGAAAUGCGUAGAUAUUGGGAGGAACACCAGUGGCGAAGGCGACUGCCUGGACGACACCUGACGCUGAGGCGCGAAAGCUAGGGGAGCAAACGGGAUUAGAAACCCUGGUAGUCC